rnacentral:lncRNA from 1 species
UGGCGCCUGAAAAGGACUUUACUGCGACAUUUUGCUCGGUAUUAGAUAAUUCCCACCCCACGUAUUUUAUUAUAGAAUCUCCUGCUACAACAACAGUUUUCCUUUUCUGUUGUUGAGGCUGUUGUUCUUGUUGUUCAGCUUUUGCCUGUUCUACUUCCUGCGGCUUACGUGAUGCGUCAUCUUUGGUUGUCUUUUUCUUUGACUUGGAUUUCCUUUUCUUUUUUUGUUGUACUUGAUCUUCCUCAGUUUUCUGGUUUGAUAUUACGCUUGAUUCGCCGCUGUCUACUUGCUCGUUUUCC